rnacentral:rRNA from 1 species
AAAAAAGGUAAGCUACUAAGAGCGAAUGGUGGAUGCCUUGACUGGUAAAGGCGAUGAAGGACGUACUAGACUGCGAUAAGCUACGGGGAGCUGUCAAGAAGCUUUGAUCCGUAGAUUUCCGAAUGGGGCAACCCAAUGUAUAGAGAUAUACAUUACCUAUAUAGGAGCGAACGAGGGGAAUUGAAACAUCUUAGUACCCUCAGGAAAAGAAAUCAAUAGAGAUUGCGUCAGUAGCGGCGAGCGAAAGCGCAAGAGGGCAAACCCAGUGCUUGCACUGGGGGUUGUAGGACUGCAAUGUGCAAGAGGUGAGUUUAGCAGAACAUUCUGGAAAGUAUAGCCAUAGAGGGUGAUAGUCCCGUAUGCGAAAAACAAACCUUAGCUAGCAGUAUCCUGAGUAGGGCGGGACACGAGAAAUCCUGUCUGAAUCCGGGUCGACCACGAUCCAACCCUAAAUACUAAUACCAGAUCGAUAGUGCACAAGUACCGUGAGGGAAAGGUGAAAAGAACUGAGGUGAUCAGAGUGAAAUAGAACCUGAAACCAUUUGCUUACAAUCAUUCAGAGCCCUAUGUAGCAAUACAGGGUGAUGGACUGCCUUUUGCAUAAUGAGCCUGCGAGUUGUGGUGUCUGGCAAGGUUAAGCAAACGCGAAGCCGUAGCGAAAGCGAGUCUGAAUAGGGCGCUUAGUCAGAUGCUGCAGACCCGAAACGAAGUGAUCUAUCCAUGAGCAAGUUGAAGCUAGUGUAAGAACUAGUGGAGGACUGAACCCAUAGGCGUUGAAAAGCCCCGGGAUGACUUGUGGAUAGGGGUGAAAGGCCAAUCAAACUUCGUGAUAGCUGGUUCUCUCCGAAAUAUAUUUAGGUAUAGCGUUGUGUCGUAAUAUAAGGGGGUAGAGCACUGAAUGGGCUAGGGCAUACACCAAUGUACCAAACCCUAUCAAACUCCGAAUACCUUAUAUGUAAUCACAGCAGUCAGGCGGCGAGUGAUAAAAUCCGUCGUCAAGAGGGAAACAACCCAGACUACCAGCUAAGGUCCCUAAAUCUUACUUAAGUGGAAAACGAUGUGAAGUUACUUAAACAACCAGGAGGUUGGCUUAGAAGCAGCCAUCCUUUAAAGAAAGCGUAAUAGCUCACUGGUCUAGUGAUUUUGCGCGGAAAAUAUAACGGGGCUAAAGUAAGUACCGAAGCUGUAGACUUGCGCACAACUUAGAUUAUUUAAGUUUAGAAUAUGAGAAACUAAGUUAUAUGUUUAGUUAUAUUUUUACUGAUUUUUAUAGAGUAAAGAUAGAAAUAAAACUUAGUAAAAUCAGUAAAAAUAUUCUUAGACUAAAGUUAAGUAGUUUAAGUUGUGUGCAAGUGGUAGGAGAGCGUUCUAUUUGCGUCGAAGGUAUACCGGUAAGGAGUGCUGGAGCGAAUAGAAGUGAGCAUGCAGGCAUGAGUAGCGAUAAUUAAUGUGAGAAUCAUUAACGCCGUAAACCCAAGGUUUCCUACGCGAUGCUCGUCAUCGUAGGGUUAGUCGGGUCCUAAGUCGAGUCCGAAAGGGGUAGACGAUGGCAAAUUGGUUAAUAUUCCAAUACCAACAUUAGUGUGCGAUGGAAGGACGCUUAGGGCUAAGGGGGCUAGCGGAUGGAAGUGCUAGUCUAAGGUCGUAGGAGGUUAUACAGGCAAAUCCGUAUAACAAUACUCCGAGAACUGAAAGGCUUUUUGAAGUCUUCGGAUGGAUAGAAGAACCCCUGAUGCCGUCGAGCCAAGAAAAGUUUCUAAGUUUAGCUAAUGUUGCCCGUACCGUAAACCGACACAGGUGGGUGGGAUGAGUAUUCUAAGGCGCGUGGAAGAACUCUCUUUAAGGAACUCUGCAAAAUAGCACCGUA